UGCAGUCGAACGAGGAAGCACCUUCGGGUGUGAGUAGAGUGGCGCACGGGUGAGUAACACGUAGGUAACCAACCUUGUGGCGCGGGAUAACGGUUCGAAAGGACCGCUAAUACCGCAUAAGUCUAUUUGGUCUGCGGACCGAAUAGGGAAAGGGGGGCUUCGGCUCUCGCCAUAAGACGGGCCUGCGCGUCAUCAGCUAGUAGGUGAGGUAACGGCUUACCUAGGCUUGGACGACUAGCUGGUCUGAGAGGAUGAUCAGCCACACUGGAACUGAGACACGGUCCAGACUCCUGCGGGAGGCAGCAGUGGGGAAUAUUGGACAAUGGGCGAAAGCCUGAUCCAGCCACGCCGCGUGUGUGAUGAAGGUCUUCGGAUCGUAAAGCACUGUGGGGAGGGAAGAACAAGCUAUCGGUUAAUACCCGGUAGCCCUGACGGUACCUCCUUAGCAAGCACCGGCUAACUCCGUGCCAGCAGCCGCGGUAAUACGGAGGGUGCAAACGUUGCUCGGAAUCAUUGGGCGUAAAGCGCGUGUAGGCGGCAGGGUAAGUCAGAUGUGAAAGCCCCGGGCUUAACCUGGGAACUGCAUUUGAUACUGCUCCGCUAGAGUACGGGAGAGGGUAGCGGAAUUCCCGGUGAAGAGGUGAAAUUCGUAGAUAUCGGGAGGAACACCAGUGGCGAAGGCGGCUACCUGGACCGAUACUGACGCUGAGACGCGAAAGCGUGGGUAGCAAACAGGAUUAGAUACCCUGGUAGUCCACGCCGUAAACGAUGAGUGCUAGGCGCUGCGGGUAUUGACCCCUACAGUGCCGUAGUUAACGCGUU
rnacentral:rRNA from 1 species